GGUCUAUUAGUCUAGUUGGUUAGGACGUCGGAUUCUGAUCUCUCAAUCAGUUCCUUCCGUAAGCCCAGGUUCGAAUCCUGGAUGGACCU
rnacentral:tRNA from 1 species